rnacentral:rRNA from 1 species
AUGUUUCGCUCCCAACAGUGCGUGUUCCUUGGGUAUAGUGCUCAACACAAGGGGGUCAAGUGCCUUGAUGUCUCCUCCGGACGUGUCUACAUCUCUCGCGAUGUAGUCUUUGAUGAGACCAAGUUUCCAUUUUCUGACCUCCACCCAAAUGCCGGUGCCUUGCUUCGCAAAGAAAUUCUUAUUCUCCCAUCCACUCUCACUGCUCUUGAUUCAAGGGAUGAUAAAUGUGUUGACUCUAUGAUGACUAACCCGCUCACUGAAGGAAAUAUGCCCUAG